UACAGAGGUGGCAAGCGUUGUUCGGAAUUACUGGGCGUAAAGCGCACGUAGGCGGAUUGCUAAGUCAGGGGUGAAAUCCUGGAGCUCAACUCCAGAACUGCCUUUGAUACUGGCGACCUUGAGUCCGGGAGAGGUGAGUGGAACUGCGAGUGUAGAGGUGAAAUUCGUAGAUAUUCGCAAGAACACCAGUGGCGAAGGCGGCUCACUGGCCCGGUACUGACGCUGAGGUGCGAAAGCGUGGGGAGCAAACAGGG
rnacentral:rRNA from 1 species